rnacentral:rRNA from 1 species
UUGAACGCUGGCGGCAUGCCUUACACAUGCAAGUCGAACGGUAGAGGAGCAAUCCUCGAGAGUGGCGAACGGGUGAGUAAUGUAUCGGAACGUGCCCAGUAGUGGGGGAUAGCCCGGCGAAAGCCGGAUUAAUACCGCAUGAUACCUGAGGGUGAAAGCGGGGGACUCGCAAGAGCCUCGCGCUACUGGAGCGGCCGAUAUCAGAUUAGGUAGUUGGUGGGGUAAAAGCCUACCAAGCCUGCGAUCUGUAGCUGGUCUGAGAGGACGACCAGCCACACUGGGACUGAGACACGGCCCAGACUCCUACGGGAGGCAGCAGUGGGGAAUUUUGGACAAUGGGCGAAAGCCUGAUCCAGCCAUGCCGCGUGCGGGAAGAAGGCCUUCGGGUUGUAAACCGCUUUUGUCAGGGAAGAAAUCCUUUGAGCUAAUACCUCAGAGGGAUGACGGUACCUGAAGAAUAAGCACCGGCUAACUACGU